rnacentral:rRNA from 1 species
CCUACGGGUGGCAGCAGUGGGGAAUAUUGGGCAAUGGGCGCAAGCCUGGCCCAGCAACGCCGCGUGAAGGAAGAAGGCUUUCGGGGUGUAAACUUCUUUUGUCAGGGAAGAGUAGAAGACGGUACCUGACGAAUAAGCUACGGCUAACUACGUGCCAGCAGCUGCGGUAAUACGUAGGUGGCAAGCGUUGUCCGGAUUUACUGGGUGUAAAGGGCGUGUAGCCGGGUUGACAAGUCAGAUGUGAAAUCCUGCGGCUUAACCGUAGAACUGCAUUUGAUACUGUCGAUCUUGAGUACUGGAGAGGUAGACGGAAUUCCUAGUGUAGCGGUGAAAUGCGUAGAUAUUAGGAGGAACACCAGUGGCGAAGGCGGUCUGCUGGACAGCAACUGACGGUGAGGCGCGAAAGCGUGGGGAGCAAACAGGAUUAGAUACCCGGGUAGUC